GAUGAAGAACGCAGUGAAAUGCGAUAAGUAAUGCGAAUUGCAGAAUUCCAGUGAGUCAUCGAAUCUUUGAACGCACAUUGCGCCCUUUGGUAUUCCGAAGGGCAUGCCUGUUCGAGCGUCAUUAUCACCCCUCAAGCCCUCGGCUUGGUGUUGGACGGUUUGGUGGAGGCCCCCUCGGGGGCUCCUGCCCCUCCCAAAGACAAUGACGGCGGCCUCGUUGGACCCCCGGUACACUGAGUUCUUCACGGGACACGUAUCGGACACAUGGGUUUACGGAACACGGUCUGCCUCCCCUCAGGGAGAAUCUUUCUAAGGUUGACCUCGGAUCAGGUAGGGAUACCCGCUGAACUUAAGCAUAUCAAUAAGCGGAGGA
rnacentral:misc_RNA from 1 species